UGGCACGCGUGGGCUUAUAAGCAGGGCCAAGAUCCCCGGAACGCUUACUGCGAGUAGGAUGUUCCUACUGGAUGUUCCUCGGGCCUGGGCCUCUGACACACAGAGCAGGGCCACCUGCACGGGGGCCCCUCCCGCCGGGACCUCCCGGGUCUCUCCUCACUGCGUCUCAGGCAAGCUGUCCUGCUCACGGGCGAUGUCCGUCCCUCCCCGGGCUCUGGCCCCUUGUCCUUCCUGCCACGAGCCAACUCAACCACAUGGACAAACGGAGGCCUCCCUCACUGGGAGCUGCCUGGGUGGGGCCGGGCAAGGUCUUUGGGUCCAUGGCAACCACAGAAGCCUCGGAGACAGAGUAGGAGUUGAGACUGGCUUGGUGGACAAGAAUUCUUGGAAGUUUUGGAGCAGAGGUGUGGCACGGGGGGCUCACUCCUUCCUCUCCUCCGAGAGGUUCAGCCCCAUCCCAGCCUCCUGCCUUCACUGGCUUAACACCCAGAGACCACCUGGCCAGGAGAUGGAGGAGGAUCAACGUCACUGCCAGUGUGCACGGCUGCAGCGUCCCCCAGCUCCCCCUGCCCUCUGGGUCCUGAGACGGCCCAGAUUGACCAGGCACAGUGGUUAAGAAUCCGCCUGCCAAUGCAGCGGACACGGGUUCGAGCCCUGGUCCGGGAAGAUCCCACAUGCCACGGAGCAACUAAGCCCGUGCGCCACAACGACUGAGCCUGCGCUCUAGAGCCCGCGAGCCACAACUACCGAGCCCGUGUGACACAACUACUGAAGCCCACGUGCCUAGAGCCUGUGCUCUGAAACAAGAGAAGCCACUGCAAUGAGAAGCCUGCGCACCGCAACGAAGAGUAGCCCCCGCUCGCCGCAACUAGAGAAAAGCCCGCGCGCAGCAACAAAGACCCAACGCAGCCAAAAAUAAAUAA